CGCGCGGGGGAACGCUGAGGGCCUGUUCCGGGCCGCGUUCCCCGCGCCCCCGCCUCUCCUCCCAGCGCCCCGCAGCGGCGCGCACCUGGCCCCGGCCCCUCCGGAAGCGGCUUUGGGCCGAGGCUGGGCUUGCAUCCCCACUUUCGGGUCUCUUCUGCGGCUUUGGGGACCCCAGCGCAGCGCGCCUGCCCUUUGCCCCACUCCCGCGUCUCACACCCCAUCCGCAGCUGGGGCCGGAGGGUCCCGGGGGAGAAAUAAGACGGAGGAAACCGCGAAAUCAGGUCCAAGGGGAAAAAAGAGAGACAAAGGGGAUGGAUUCUUCCCCCGCCCACCCCCACUUCUGUUCUUGGCAACAACUUCCAGAGGCUCCAGGGAAGGGGAAUUUGAUAACCAUUUUUCCCUUGCACCACCUCGCCCCCAAACCCAGGACUUUAGUAGCGCAGAUUCUACUUAAUCUUCCUUGGAAGUCCAAUCUGCAUGUUUAAGAGAGAGAUCACAAGCAGGCAGAGAGGCAGGAGGAAGCAGGCUCCCU